UACGAAGGGGGCUAGCGUUGCUCGGAAUCACUGGGCGUAAAGCGCACGUAGGCGGAUUGUUAAGUCAGACGUGAAAUCCCUCGGCUCAACCGGGGAACUGCGUCUGAUACUGGAUGGCUUGAAUUCGGGAGAGGGAUGCGGAAUUCCAGGUGUAGCGGUGAAAUGCGUAGAUAUCUGGAGGAACACCGGUGGCGAAGGCAGCCCCCUGGGCCAACACUGACGCUCAGGCACGAAAGCGUGGGGAGCAAACAGG
rnacentral:rRNA from 1 species